CAACAGAUGAGCACAAACAAAUAUAUACCAAGAUAUUUUGCUUGCCAUACGCUGGACCAAAGUGGAAGAUGAUGGACAAGGUGAAUGUAAUAUUAUUACCAUAGAACCUAAAAUACAUAACAAGCAACCCAUCUAAAAAGGAAAAAAAAAAUAAAAAUGCAGUACCUGUAUAUAGAGAAUAGAUAUAUACUAUUAUUUUCAACAUUAAUGUUUCUGCCUGUACAAGUAUUUUUCACCUUUCCCAAAAGAUUUAAUUUUUCGUUAAGAUAUCUGGAUGCUAAUACUGCCGAUAUCAGAA